rnacentral:rRNA from 1 species
AUUGAACGCUGGCGGCAGGCCUAACACAUGCAAGUCGAGCGGUAACAGGUCCUUCGGGAUGCUGACGAGCGGCGGACGGGUGAGUAAUGCAUAGGAAUCUGCCCGGUAGUGGGGGAUAACCUGGGGAAACCCAGGCUAAUACCGCAUACGUCCUACGGGAGAAAGGGGGCUCCGGCUCCCGCUAUUGGAUGAGCCUAUGUCGGAUUAGCUAGUUGGUGAGGUAAUGGCUCACCAAGGCAACGAUCCGUAGCUGGUCUGAGAGGAUGAUCAGCCACAUCGGGACUGAGACACGGCCCGAACUCCUACGGGAGGCAGCAGUGGGGAAUAUUGGACAAUGGGCGAAAGCCUGAUCCAGCCAUGCCGCGUGUGUGAAGAAGGCCCUCGGGUUGUAAAGCACUUUCAGCGAGGAAGAACGCCUAGGGGUUAAUACCCCCUAGGAAAGACAUCACUCGCAGAAGAAGCACCGGCUAACUCCGUGCCAGCAGCCGCGGUAAUACGGAGGGUGCAAGCGUUAAUCGGAAUUACUGGGCGUAAAGCGCGCGUAGGUGGCUUGAUAAGCCGGUUGUGAAAGCCCCGGGCUCAACCUGGGAACGACAUCCGGAACUGUCAAGCUAGAGUGCAGGAGAGGAAGGUAGAAUUCCCGGUGUAGCGGUGAAAUGCGUAGAGAUCGGGAGGAAUACCAGUGGCGAAGGCGGCCUUCUGGACUGACACUGACACUGAGGUGCGAAAGCGUGGGUAGCAAACA